rnacentral:rRNA from 1 species
GCUUGCUUCUUUGCUGACGAGUGGCGGACGGGUGAGUAAUGUCUGGGAAACUGCCUGAUGGAGGGGGAUAACUACUGGAAACGGUAGCUAAUACCGCAUAACGUCGCAAGACCAAAGAGGGGGACCUUCGGGCCUCUUGCCAUCGGAUGUGCCCAGAUGGGAUUAGCUUGUUGGUGGGGUAACGGCUCACCAAGGCGACGAUCCCUAGCUGGUCUGAGAGGAUGACCAGCCACACUGGAACUGAGACACGGUCCAGACUCCUACGGGAGGCAGCAGUGGGGAAUAUUGCACAAUGGGCGCAAGCCUGAUGCAGCCAUGCCGCGUGUAUGAAGAAGGCCUUCGGGUUGUAAAGUACUUUCAGCGGGGAGGAAGGGAGUAAAGUUAAUACCUUUGCUCAUUGACGUUACCCGCAGAAGAAGCACCGGCUAACUCCGUGCCAGCAGCCGCGGUAAUACGGAGGGUGCAAGCGUUAAUCGGAAUUACUGGGCGUAAAGCGCACGCAGGCGGUUUGUUAAGUCAGAUGUGAAAUCCCCGGGCUCAACCUGGGAACUGCAUCUGAUACUGGCAAGCUUGAGUCUCGUAGAGGGGGGUAGAAUUCCAGGUGUAGCGGUGAAAUGCGUAGAGAUCUGGAGGAAUACCGGUGGCGAAGGCGGCCCCCUGGACGAAGACUGACGCUCAGGUGCGAAAGCGUGGGGAGCAAACAGGAUUAGAUACCCUGGUAGUCCACGCCGUAAACGAUGUCGACUUGGAGGUUGUGCCCUUGAGGCGUGGCUUCCGGAGCUAACGCGUUAAGUCGACCGCCUGGGGAGUACGGCCGCAAGGUUAAAACUCAAAUGAAUUGACGGGGGCCCGCACAAGCGGUGGAGCAUGUGGUUUAAUUCGAUGCAACGCGAAGAACCUUACCUGGUCUUGACAUCCACAGAACUUUCCAGAGAUGGAUUGGUGCCUUCGGGAACUGUGAAACAGGUGCUGCAUGGCUGUCGUCAGCUCGUGUUGUGAAAUGUUGGGUUAAGUCCCGCAACGAGGCCAACCCUUAUCCUUUGUUGCCAGCGGUCCGGCCGGGAACUCAAAAGG